GAAUGAUAGAGAAAUAAAUAGAUGAAAGUUUAAUAUUGUUCCAAUUUUGAUCGUAAAUUGAACUAUUAAUUAUUCCUGAACAAUUUUUCUUUCACUCAAUGAAAUGUAUUUAAAUGAUUUAACGAUUGUUUUCCAUAGGCUAUUAUGCAAUUUUGAAUCAAGUCAAUUGGAUCGAUAAAUUAAUUUAAUAUGUUAGCAUGCUGCGAUUUGUUUUUGUCUAUAUUUCGGAUUCAUCAUAAAUGUUUUUAAUAUGCAUAAUUUCUUAUUUAGUGAAAAAUAUUGGAAUUAAUAAAAAAUUUUACGAUAUUAAAAUUGAGCAUAUUAGUUUCUCGAAUUGUGAAAAACAAUUCCAUAAUUCUAUUGGCGCAAGGUUAAUAACCUUUAACGGUGCGCUGUAAGAUUUCGUACAUGAUAGUUUAAUUUUUAUACAGGUAUUCUUAGUCCAAAGAGAAUAGCCAAUGAAAACAGCACAAGUCGUCUACGUUUACCAAUGGAAUUAUAGAUCUCUGGGUUUGCAGCAGCCCAUUUUUCCUUGAAUGCCAAUUUUUCUUUCUUGGGCUUAGUCUUCAAACUUUGGAUACCGGCAUAAUGCUCUUCGAUCUCUUUCAAAGAUCUUCCUUCCGUUUCUGGCAAUAUGAAGUACAGUAGAAUACCACCAACGAAAUUGAUCAAAGCAUAAAAGAAAAACGUUCCAGG